UGGAAACUUCUGACAGCUCGCUGUAAACCCAUAACCCCCUCACACAGACACACACACACACACACUGAUGUCAUGACAGCAGAAUGAAUCGGCCUGAGCACUGCGCGCGCGCACACACACACACACACCUGACGCGCGCUCCCGCUCUCCACACGCGAACUUCGAGACGUUUCAGCGAGAAACGGAAUGAGAAACUGCAGAUCGGGUGUGUGUUCACGGCUUUGUGAUGGAUGUGCUGUUGUAUUUCUCUCUUAUUGGUGUUUGUGCAGCUGCAGGAACACACACACUCAGGUUGUCAGAGCUGCUGGUGUCUGAUGGAGUGUGUGUGUUAGGCUGGAUGAGGAACUCAAAGGCACAGUGCAGACCGGUGUGUGAGUCGGGCUGUAAACACGGAGAGUGUGUUGGUCCAGAUCAGUGUCUCUGUCAUCCAGGAUACACCGGCAAGACCUGCAGCCAAGGUAUGAGUGUCUCACACACACACACACACGCACACACACAAACACACAUGCGUGUACACAUACUCUCAAAAACUGUCAUACACACAUACAAAACUGCACACCCUCAUACAUACAAACUCACACAAAUGCACAU